rnacentral:tRNA from 1 species
AAUGAGGUGCCUGAGUAAAGGGCCACUUUGAUAGAGUGGAUCAAGUAGGAUGAGCCCACCCUCAUUG